rnacentral:rRNA from 1 species
UGGAUCCAGACUUUGAUUCUGGCUCAGGAUAAACGCUGGCGGCGCACAUAAGACAUGCAAGUCGAACGGACUUAACUCAUUCUUUUAGAUUGAGAGCGGUUAGUGGCGGACUGGUGAGUAACACGUAAGCAACCUGCCUAUCAGAGGGGAAUAACAGUGAGAAAUCAUUGCUAAUACCGCAUAAGCUAGUAGUAUCGCAUGAUAUAGCUAGAAAAGGAGCAAUCCGCUGAUAGAUGGGCUUGCGUCUGAUUAGCUAGUUGGUGGGGUAACGGCCUACCAAGGCGACGAUCAGUAGCCGGACUGAGAGGUUGAACGGCCACAUUGGGACUGAGAUACGGCCCAGACUCCUACGGGAGGCAGCAGUCGGGAAUAUUGCGCAAUGGAGGAAACUCUGACGCAGUGACGCCGCGUAUAGGAAGAAGGUUUUCGGAUUGUAAACUAUUGUCGUGAGGGAAGAAAUUGACAGUACCUCAGGAGGAAGCUCCGGCUAACUAUGUGCCAGCAGCCGCGGUAAUACAUAGGGAGCAAGCGUUAUCCGGAUUUAUUGGGUGUAAAGGGUGCGUAGACGGGAAAUUAAGUUAGUUGUGAAAUCCCUCGGCUUAACUGAGGAACUGCAACUAAAACUGGUUUUCUUGAGUACUGGAGAGGAAAGUGGAAUUCCUAGUGUAGCGGUGAAAUGCGUAGGUAUUAGGAGGAACACCAGUGGCGAAGGCGACUUUCUGGACAGUAACUGACGUUGAGGCACGAAAGUGUGGGGAGCAAACAGGAUUAGAUACCCUGGUAGUCCACACUGUAAACGAUGGAUACUAGGUGUAGGAUGUAUUAAGCAUUCUGUGCCGCCGCUAACGCAUUAAGUAUCCCACCUGGGGAGUACGACCGCAAGGUUGCAACUCAAAUGAAUUGACGGA